rnacentral:rRNA from 1 species
GACGAACGCUGGCGGCGUGCUUAACACAUGCAAGUCGAACGGAAAGGCCUCUUUCGGGGGGUACUCGAGCGGCGAACGGGUGAGUAACACGUGAGUAACCUGCCCUUGACUUUGGGAUAACUUCAGGAAACUGGGGCUAAUACCGGAUAGGAGCUCCUGCUGCAUGGUGGGGGUUGGAAAGUUUCGGCGGUUGGGGAUGGACUCGCGGCUUAUCAGCUUGUUGGUGGGGUAGUGGCUUACCAAGGCUUUGACGGGUAGCCGGCCUGAGAGGGUGACCGGCAACAUUGGGACUGAGAUACGGCCCAGACUCCGACGGGAGGCAGCAGGGGGGAAUAUUGCACAAUGGGUGGAAGCCUGAUGCAGCAACGCCGUGGGCGGGAGGACGGCCUUCGGGUUGUAAACCGCUUUCGCUCAUGACGAAGCUUUGUGUGACGGUAGUGGGUAAAGAAGCACCGGCUAACUACGUG